GGCCCGAAUUUGAGGUAGAGUUGAUUAGUAUGACCGGCUGACCCUACUUAACUACUCUACUUCAAGUUUUUGCCC
rnacentral:pre_miRNA from 1 species